rnacentral:rRNA from 1 species
GUAAGGAAUAUUGGGCAAUGGAGGCAACUCUGACCCAGCCAUGCCGCGUGAAGGAUUGACGGCCCUCUGGGUUGUAAACUUCUUUUGUACGGGAAUAACCCUCCGAACGUGUUCGGAGCUGAAGGUACCGUAAGAAUAAGGAUCGGCUAACUCCGUGCCAGCAGCCGCGGUAAUACGGAGGAUCCAAGCGUUAUCCGGAUUUACUGGGUUUAAAGGGUGCGUAGGCGGAUUGAUAAGUCAGUGGUGAAAUCCUGCAGCUUAACUGCAUAACUGCCAUUGAUACUGUCAGUCUGGAGUAUGGUUGAGUUAGCUGGAAUGUGUCAUGUAGCUUUGAAAUGCUUAGAGAUGACACAUAACACCGACGUCGACGGCAGGUUACCAACCCAUUACUGACGCUGAGGCACGAAAGCGUGGGGAUCAAACAGGAUUAGAUACCCCUGUAGUCC